rnacentral:lncRNA from 1 species
GUUAGGAUGAAGGUUAGGGUGGCCCUUACUUGAUGAGGGCUAACCCUAUCCCUGUUGCGUUUACAGAAAAGGCUUCAGGGCUACCCAUUAGGAGGGUUAAACAUUACCUGUGUGCAGGGCAAACAGAUUGUAAGGCAAAUAGGUAAAGGACCAGAGAGAUGAUCGCGUUUCCAAAGGAGGAAUGACAUAAAAAGCUUACCCGUACCCUGGGCGCGCAGAAGGGCUCCACUAAGGGUGACCUCCAGAUAGAGAUCCUUCCUCCUUGGGAGUCAGCCCUUACAUGGGGUCUAGCAGGGCUGCAGCCAGGGUCCACCCCUUCCGGUCACUCAGCUGAAACUGCCAUCACCUGUGCCCCUGCAGCUGACUCAGCACUCGCCUCAGGUGGUCAAACAGAGGGUCAGGCUGUGAUUAUACAGUUCCCAUACACCUGUGUGAUUUAGAGUUCAGACUUGUGGUUUAUACAUUUGGAUUAGUGUUAGGAGCUACAAUUUCUAGUACAAGAGAAAGGAAAAGAAACGCUACUAGGAAAAAAAUACAGUGCAAAGAAAUGAACAGCAAAGAAAAAAAAAGAGCACCAAACUGAAAAAAAGAACAAAAAACCCCACGCACAUCAAAGAAAGCCAAUAACAAUAAAUGAAACAACAACAAACACCACAUUCAAAAACAAGCAACCAACGAUAACAGAACAGAAUACACUCUCACGGAAAAGCAAAGAUGACAACAGAGUCUGGAAGAGGCAAAAACUCAGCAUCUAGGCCUGGGAAGAUGACAGAGAACAAUCUACAUACACCAAUGCCGAGAAAAUGGGGCAAUAGGCCCGCAUGGAUCCAGCCAGCUGGAGAAAAAGCCACAAGAGCACCACAAGGGAAGAGGCAAGGAGGCCCAGGAGGCGUGGACCCACCUGGGAAACUCCAAGGAGCUGCAAAUGCAUCAAGCACGGCAGGAAAGCCCAGAGAGGAGGCUGCAGUUCAAGAAGCCAGAAAGGAACAGACAGAAGAGAACAAUCAAGGGAGAGAGCACAUCAGGUAAGUGAAGGCAAAGGAAGAGCAAGGCCGGGGCAAGGGGACAAGGAAGGCAAAGCCAGGUAAGGCAACCAAGAAUGAAGAGCAAGGGAGAAACUCCAAGCAAAGCCAAGAACCAUCCUCUGAAAAGGCAAGGAAUGCUCUCCUCUGGGAGGAA